rnacentral:rRNA from 1 species
UUGUUCCUACGGGGCGCAGCAGUGGGGAAUAUUGCACAAUGGGGGGAACCCUGAUGCAGCGACGCCGCGUGAAGGAAGAAGUAUCUCGGUAUGUAAACUUCUAUCAGCAGGGAAGAAAGAGGACGGUACCUGACUAAGAAGCCCCGGCUAACUACGUGCCAGCAGCCGCGGUAAUACGUAGGGGGCGAGCGUUAUCCGGAUUUACUGGGUGUAAAGGGAGCGUAGACGGCCA